AUUGAACGCUGGCGGCAUGCCUUACACAUGCAAGUCGAACGGUAACAGGUCUUCGGAUGCUGACGAGUGGCGAGCGGGUGAGUAAUACAUCGGAACGUGCCUAGUAGUGGGGGAUAACUACUCGAAAGAGUGGCUAAUACCGCAUGAGAUCUACGGAUGAAAGCAGGGGAUCGCAAGACCUUGUGCUACUAGAGCGGCCGAUGGCAGAUUAGGUAGUUGGUGGGAUAAAAGCUUACCAAGCCGACGAUCUGUAGCUGGUCUGAGAGGACGAUCAGCAAGACUGGGACGGAGACACGGCCCAGACUCCUACGGGAGGCAGCAGUGGGGAAUUUUGGACAAUGGGCGAAAGCCUGAUCCAGCAAUGCCGCGUGCAGGAUGAAGGCCUUCGGGUUGUAAACUGCUUUUGUACGGAACGAAAAGCCCCGGGUUAAUACCCUGGGGUCAUGACGGUACCGUAAGAAUAAGCACCGGCUAACUACGUGCCAGCCGCCGCGGUAA
rnacentral:rRNA from 1 species